CUUUCCGUAGGGUAACCUGCGGAGGGAUCAUUACAGAGUUAUCCAACUCCCAAACCCAUGUGAACAUAUCUCUUUGUUGCCUCGGCGCAAGCUACCCGGGACCUCGCGCCCCGGGCGGCCCGCCGGCGGACAAACCAAACUCUGUUAUCUUCGUUGAUUAUCUGAGUGUCUUAUUUAAUAAGUCAAAACUUUCAACAACGGAUCUCUUGGUUCUGGCAUCGAUGAAGAACGCAGCGAAAUGCGAUAAGUAAUGUGAAUUGCAGAAUUCAGUGAAUCAUCGAAUCUUUGAACGCACAUUGCGCCCAUUAGUAUUCUAGUGGGCAUGCCUGUUCGAGCGUCAUUUCAACCCCUAAGCACAGCUUAUUGUUGGGCGUCUACGUCUGUAGUGCCUCAAAGACAUUGGCGGAGCGGCAGCAGUCCUCUGAGCGUAGUAAUUCUUUAUCUCGCUUCUGUUAGGCGCUGCCCCCCCGGCCGUAAAACCCCCAAUUUUUUCUGGUUGACCUCGGAUCAGGUAGGAAUACCCGCUGAACUUAAGCAUAUAAA
rnacentral:rRNA from 1 species